UACGUAGGGCGCAAGCGUUGUCCGGAAUUAUUGGGCGUAAAGAGCUCGUAGGCGGUUUGUCGCGUCUGCUGUGAAAACCUAAGGCUCAACCUUGGGCCUGCAGUGGGUACGGGCAGACUAGAGUGCGGUAGGGGAGAUUGGAAUUCCUGGUGUAGCGGUGGAAUGCGCAGAUAUCAGGAGGAACACCGAUGGCGAAGGCAGAUCUCUGGGCCGUAACUGACGCUGAGGAGCGAAAGCAUGGGGAGCGAACAGG
rnacentral:rRNA from 1 species